AUUGAACGCUGGCGGCAUGCCUUACACAUGCAAGUCGAACGGUAACAGGUCUUCGGAUGCUGACGAGUGGCGAACGGGUGAGUAAUACAUCGGAACGUGCCUAGUAGUGGGGGAUAACUACUCGAAAGAGUGGCUAAUACCGCAUGAGAUCUACGGAUGAAAGCAGGGGAUCGCAAGACCUUGUGCUACUAGAGCGGCCGAUGGCAGAUUAGGUAGUUGGUGGGAUAAAAGCUUACCAAGCCGACGAUCUGUAGCUGGUCUGAGAGGGCGAUCAGCCACACUGGGACUGAGAAACGGCCCAGACUCCUACGGGAGGCAGCAGUGGGGAAUUUUGGACAAUGGGCGCAAGCCUGAUCCAGCAAUGCCGCGUGCAGGAUGAAGGCCUUCGGGUUGUAAACUGCUUUUGUACGGAACGAAAAGCCCCGGGUUAAUACCCUGGGGUCAUGACGGUACCGUAAGAAUAAGCACCGGCUAACUACGUGUCAGCCGCCGCCGUAA
rnacentral:rRNA from 1 species